GGUUUGAGCUAGGAGACUAAACAAGGAACACAAGAUGCAGCAAGAAGAAUCUAUUGUGAGGUGACCAAGAUGAAAGUACCAGCAUUCUGCUCUGAAUCCAUUGAGGCUGCCAUCAGUUAUCAGAGACCUGGGUCUCAAAAUUCACUGCUGCCAGAUCAUCUAAAAAUAUCCAGCGGUCCUUGGUUUUUAAAACCAGAUGAUUUUGACUGCUUCAUGUACAGAUCAGAGCCGCCAGGUGAACAGAAGUCUGUCUAAGUGGAUGAGCAGCGGAGAAAAGGCAAACCGAUCUUGUUAUUUUCAGAGUUCCCAAGAGACCUAUUAACAACAGAUUUUUAUGGAAAAGAAGCAUGGUUAAACUGGUGAAAAUAACUGUGCACAAGUCAUAAUGAGAGAGAAAAAAAAUACUUAACAUGAGAUGUGAAGGACCCUGAGGUCAGGACCUGGCAGGCUGUACAGGAG